rnacentral:tRNA from 1 species
ACUAUUUUGUCAGAUAAUUGUAAUAAAUUUAGAAUUUAUUUAUGUAUAAUUAAUUAUACAAGUAGUA